UGGGGAAUAUUGCACAAUGGGCGCAAGCCUGAUGCAGCAACGCCGCGUGAGGGAUGACGGCCUUCGGGUUGUAAACCUCUUUUAGUAGGGAAGAAGCGAAAGUGACGGUACCUGCAGAAAAAGCGCCGGCUAACUACGUGCCAGCAGCCGCGGUAAUACGUAGGGUGCGAGCGUUGUCCGGAAUUAUUGGGCGUAAAGAGUUCGUAGGCGGUCUGUCGCGUCUGCUGUGAAAACCCGAGGCUCAACCUCGGGCCUGCAGUGGGUACGGGCAGACUAGAGUGCGGUAGGGGAGAAUGGAAUUCCUGGUGUAGCGGUGGAAUGCGCAGAUAUCAGGAGGAACACCGAUGGCGAAGGCAGUUCUCUGGGCCGUAACUGACGCUGAGGAGCGAAAGCGUGGGGAGCGAACAGGAUUAGAUACCCUGGUAGUCCACGCCGUAAACGUUGGGCGCUAGAUGUGGGGACCAUUCCACGGUUUCCGUGUCGCAGCUAACGCAUUAAGCGCCCCGCCUGGGGAGUACGGCCGCAAGGCUAAAACUCAAAUGAAUUG
rnacentral:rRNA from 1 species